CUUAAUUAGAGGGACAUAUGCUCCUUGAGGUAUCCGCCCACUCGUUCGGAAGUGAGGACGGCCGGCCCCCUGCACAUCUGAACUGUGAGUUUACUUGAUUACUUUCCUUAUUUAAGCAAUGUUGAUUUUUAAACAUGUUUGUAUUCUGUCUUGAUAAAAGUUCCCUAGCGGAACUGAAACGUUGACCUUUGGAAUAAAGAAAAGUUGUUGUUUUUUGAAUAAAUCCUGGGAGUGCUGAUUCCUCUUGGCUGUAUCUAUUUACUGCAAUUGAG